rnacentral:rRNA from 1 species
GACGAACGCUGGCGGCGUGCCUAACACAUGCAAGUCGAACGGAACUGUUUUGAAAGAUUUCUUCGGAAUGAAUUUGAUUUAGUUUAGUGGCGGACGGGUGAGUAGCGCGUGAGUAACCUGCCUUCAAGAGGGGAAUAACAUUCUGAAAAGAAUGCUAAUACCGCAUGACAUAUCGGAACCUCAUGGUUUUGAUAUCAAAGAUUUUAUCGCUUGAAGAUGGACUCGCGUCCGAUUAGUUAGUUGGUGAGGUAACGGCUCACCAAGACCGCGAUCGGUAGCCGGACUGAGAGGUUGAACGGCCACAUUGGGACUGAGACACGGCCCAGACUCCUACGGGAGGCAGCAGUGGGGGAUAUUGCGCAAUGGGGGCAACCCUGACGCAGCAACGCCGCGUGAAGGAUGAAGGUUUUCGGAGUGUAAACUUCUUUUAUUAAGGACGAAAAAUGACGGUACUUAAUGAAUAAGCUCCGGCUAACUACGUG